rnacentral:tRNA from 3 species
GCGGUUGUGGUGGAAUCAGGUAGUCACGCUGGGUUUAGGUCCCAGUGGGGUAACACCCGUGGGGGUUCGAGUCCCCCCAACCGCA